GUAUGCGUUUAUGGAGUAGUUUGAAUAACCAACCAGCUAAACUACUCCAAAAUAAAACAUGGACACAGCGUAAAAAUUCAAAGUUGAAAAGAAAACCUGAAUUGCUGUGUCUCAAAUGUGCCCCUUCAACAUCCACAUAUACCUGGCAAAGGUACAUACAGGGGUAUUACUGUACUCAGAUGACAUAGCUGAACACUAUGAAGUGUUAUACUGCCAUAGCAUAUAAGGUUUGCAAAAUAUACAGUAGAAGCUCACUGUGUGGG